rnacentral:rRNA from 1 species
CAGCCGCCGCGGUAAUACCGGCGGCCCGAGUGGCGGUCACUAUUAUUGGGCUUAAAGCGUCCGUAGCCGGGUUGGGAAGGCCUCCGGGAAAUCUGGCCGCUUAACGGUCAGAAUGCCGGAGGAUACUCCCAGCCUAGGGAGCGGGAGAGGCCGAGGGGAUUCCCGGAGUAGGGGUGGAAUCCUAUAAUCCCGGGAGGACCACCUGUGGCGAAGGCGCUCGGCUGGAACGCGGCCGACGGUGAGGGACGAAGGCCAGGGGAGCAAACCGGAUUAGAUACCCGGGUAGUCCUGGCUGUAAACGAUGCGGACUUUGUGUCGGACAAGCUAUGAGCUUGUCCGGUGCCGGAGGGAAACCGUUAAGUCCGCCGCCUGGGGAGUACGGCCGCAAGGCUGAAACUUAAAGGAAUUGGUGGG